UACGGAGGGUGCAAGCGUUAUCCGGAUUCACUGGGUUUAAAGGGUGCGUAGGUGGGUUGGUAAGUCAGUGGUGAAAUCUCCAGGCUUAACUUGGAAACUGCCAUUGAUACUAUCAAUCUUGAAUACCGUGGAGGUCAGCGGAAUAUGUCAUGUAGCGGUGAAAUGCUUAGAUAUGACAUAGAACACCAAUUGCGGAGGCAGCUGGCUACACGAAUAUUGACACUGAUGCACGAAAGCGUGGGGAUCAAACAGG
rnacentral:rRNA from 1 species